AAAAUGGACAAAUAAUUGAAGUUGAUUGCUAUGUUUCUUUGCAUCCUGUCCAAAAGUUUUGUCAUGGCUGCUCUAGAAAAUCAACCUUUCACUCCGUGCCCAGUAAGAACAUGCUGACUAUUUGUACAACACAAGGUCGCUUUGACAUAAACAGUACAUCAUUCAAGUGUGUUUCUUGUUCAGCAUUCUUG